UUGUUAUGCGAUUUAAAUUUUAAUAAUGUUCUGUUAUUAAAUUCUACUUGAAACAAUUACUAAUAAAUAUUUCGUCUUUCACUGACGUCAUCACAAACCUAUAGAUUAGCAGACCUGUACGUUUUGUACCUUGUGUACUCCUGGCGGUAAACCCAUGAACCGUAUUGUGACAUGGUCGGCGUAGAACGGAAAAUAAGAUAUCACUUUUGGUCGGAGCCUUCAACCGAAUAAGUACCUAGUGGCAGAUAACCUAUCCACGUAAAAGUGGCGAAUAUUUCAUUCUUGUUUCAAGUCAUAGUAUUAUUUUGAAAAUAAAUUAUCCAAGUUUAUUACGUAUGUGUUUAGUGGGCUGAAGAAACGAGGUUGGAGGUUCGCAGCAGUGAUUUGUGGUUUAUCUGCCACUGGGGAAAAUCUUUUAACUACUCCUACCACCUGAGAAGGACCGCUUUUCGACCAAGUCACCUAGGGGACAAGUACUAGAGGAACAUGUAAUUUUUGUUCUUCAUUAUCCUGCAUUUUGGAGAAUUGCCGUGUUACGGUUGACUGCGUAGCACCAUUCUGUGCUUAAGACUUUACUGAGAAGUAGUACGGAAAACUUGUGGGGACAAUAUCAGGUCAAUUGGGUUUGUUUCGGGAACUUUUUAUAUUUAACAGUGCAAUAGUUAUCUACCUAUACCAGUACACUUAUACACUUAUUUUUUUUAUAAUAUCCAGAACAUUUAAGUAAUUAACAUACACAUAGUUCAAUAGCGCUCCCACACCUGUAUGUCUCUUUGUAAAAGAGGAUAAUUUGGGCCCAAAUAACCUUUUCCCAUACAGUAGUUCCUUACAUUUAUUUUUUAUUAAUAUUAUUAGACUUGUUUCCCAUAUUUUGCAUAUAACUAUAUAUAUAUUUUAAUAUUAUUAGCUUGUUUCUUGUAAUUUAAAUUCCCAAUCUGUUUGCUUAACUUAAAUUCAUUUGUUAUUAAAUUAAAUUCAAUCCCUAAUCCCUAUCCCUUCAGGAUAGCUAUUAGUUUUACUUGGUCAUUAUUAAAAACCACGAGUCAGAAAAAGGAUCUUUAUCAUCCAGGACUGCGUUGGUUCAGUUAGGUGUUGCCUAUUCAACUCAUUGAGUUAUAUAUAUUUGUAUGGUUCAUCCUAGGUAGGUAUUUUAGUAUUGAUUUCUUGUAGUAUUUAACGUUGCUGUACGUAUUACAAUCGUACAAUUAUUUGGUGAAGGUUGUUGUUUAACCUUAGUGUAAGUUGGGGGUACGCUCCAUAUAAGAGCUACCCCAGUACUAAUGUAAUUAUAGUUGUAUACUCAUAUUCAGAUAAGUAGUUAAGUCAAAUUGUCAUUUUAGAGUUACAUAGGUUGUAUUUUUUCUAACUCAGAGGUUGUCAAUAAUCUAGGUAGUUAUAUUUUAAUAAAUAUUUAUUUGUUUGUA
rnacentral:lncRNA from 1 species